UACGUAGGGUGCAAGCGUUAAUCGGAAUUACUGGGCGUAAAGCGUGCGCAGGCGGUUCUGUAAGACAGAUGUGAAAUGCCCGGGCUUAACCUGGGAACUGCAUUUGUGACUGCAAAGCUAGAGUGUGUCAGAGGGGGGUAGAAUUCCACGUGUAGCAGUGAAAUGCGUAGAUAUGUGGAGGAAUACCGAUGGCGAAGGCAGCCCCCUGGGAUAAGCACUGACGCUCAUGCACGAAAGCGUGGGGAGCAAAC
rnacentral:rRNA from 1 species